rnacentral:tRNA from 1 species
GGGCGCAUGGCUCAGUUGGUUAGAGCGCCACACUCACAUUGUGGAGAUCAUAGGUUCGAAUCCUAUUGCGCCCA